AACGCGAAGAACCUUACCUGGGCUUGAACCGCACAGGACCAGCUUCAGAAAUGAGGCCUUCCCGCAAGGGACCUGUGUAGAGGUGCUGCAUGGCUGUCGUCAGCUCGUGCCGUGAGGUGUUGGGUUAAGUCCCGCAACGAGCGCAACCCUUACUCAUAGUUGCUACCCGCAAGGGAGAACUCUAUGAGGACUGCUCCGGAUAACGGAGAGGAAGGUGGGGAUGAGGUCAAGUCAGCAUGGCCUUUAUGUCCAGGGCUACACACGUGUUACAAUGCGCGGUACAAACCGUCGCGAACCCGCGAGGGGGAGCUAAUCGGAAAAAACUGCGCUCAGUUCGGAUUGCAGUCUGCAACUCGACUGCAUGAAGCUGGAAUCGCUAGUAAUGGCGUAUCAGAACGACGCCGUGAAUACGUUCCCGGGCCUUGUACACACCGCGAGC
rnacentral:rRNA from 1 species